ACGCUUGGCAGUUUGCAGGCCAGUAAUGGAAGGCAGCCGUUCCUUCCUUUGCUAGGGCGGGGUGUUCACCGUUGAUGAGGACGGUAGAGACGGAAAUGGUACCUCUUGUGGGAAUCUCGACUGCAUAAUUUAUGGUAGUGGGGGACUGCGUUCGCGCUCUCCCCUG